rnacentral:rRNA from 1 species
UCACGAAGAACUNCGAUUGCGAAGGCAGCUUGCUGGACUGUAACUGACGCUGAGGCACGAAAGCGUGGGGAUCAAACAGGAUUAGAUACCNNGGUANNCCACGCCGUAAACGAUGAAUGCUAGCUGUUAGCGAUAUACUGUUAGCGGCACAGAGAAAUCGUUAAGCAUUCCACCUGGGGAGUACGCCGGCAACGGUGAAACUCAAAGGAAUUGACGGGGGCCCGCACAAGCGGAGGAACAUGUGGUUUAAUUCGAUGAUACGCGAGGAACCUUACCUGGGCUUAAAUUGCAGUGGAAUAACGUGGAAACAUGUUAGCCUUCGGGCCGCUGUGAAGGUGCUGCAUGGUUGUCGUCAGCUCGUGCCGUGAGGUGUCGGCUUAAGUGCCAUAACGAGCGCAACCCUCAUCGAUAGUUACUAACAGGUUAAGCUGAGGACUCUAUCGAGACUGCCGACGUAAGUCGUGAGGAAGGUGGGGAUGACGUCAAAUCAGCACGGCCCUUACGUCCAGGGCUACACACGUGUUACAAUGGGGGGUACAAAGGGCAGCUACCUGGCGACAGGAUGCUAAUCUCAAAAACCUCUCUCAGUUCGGAUUGGAGUCUGCAACCCGACUCCAUGAAGCUGGAUUCGCUAGUAAUCGCGCAUCAGCCACGGCGCGGUGAAUACGUUCCCGGGCCUUGUACACACCGCCCGUCAAGCCAUGGGAGCCGGGGGGACCUGAAGUAUGCAACCGUAAGGAGCGUCCUAGGGUAAAACUGGUGACUGGGGCU